rnacentral:rRNA from 1 species
AUGGUCUGCUAUGUCACCGUUUCACUGAUUCGUGGAACUAAUCAUGCCUUUACGCCUAUCAUCGUAGAAGCAGUGACUUUGAAAGAUUAUGCGGAUUGGGUAUCCAAUCAAUUAAUCCUCCAAACCAACUAA